rnacentral:lncRNA from 1 species
GAACUCUAAUGUGUGUGAUCUCAUAGGUUCGAACCUAAGUCAGUAUCAUAAAAAUAAAUUUCUGUAUCAAUCGAAGUGACCAUCUAGCAAUGGUAUCCGACAGUCGGAUAGGUCGAAUGUGUGGAAUAACAUCCUUAGAAUCCAUACGGAUAUAGUUUCCAUAUAAUUCAUCCCCUUGAUCAAAAUGCUCAUAGGACACCUCAGAGUUUCACUGUCAACUCUGAUCAG